UCAACCACUGGCCCUAGGAACCAAAUGUCUGAGUCUCUGGUGCUUUAACUUUCUGGUGCUUCCUCUGUGUCCUCAGGUGGACUCUGGGCCCUUUUCUCCCCUGAUUUGGACACUGGGCUCCACACCUUCUUUGAGAAAUAGAAACAGAGCUGAUCUCCUGCCUCGUGUACCUCCAUUAGCCCUUUCCCCCAUCAGAAGUCUUUUGAAGAAAGCCCCAGGAUGAAUGGUCCUGCAGGCAGAAACCAGUUCUGGGAUUAAUACUCAGUUCUCAGGGACCAGGAUGUGAGGCGAGACUGGGAUCCAUCAGGUUGUAUAGACAGCUCCCUACUCAGCAGGAGGAGGAGAUCUGGACACCCAGAGAGACACCGAGGUGCAUGCACAGAGUAAAGGCUGCGAGAAGAGGCAGCAAAAGGGCAGCUGGUUGUGUGCAAACCGAGGAGAGAGGCCUCAGAGGAAACCUAACAUGCUGACACCUUGAUCUUGGACUUCCUGCCUUUAAAAUGAUUCCUUUCCCAUAUAGGUAGCAAGAACUUUUUAGGCCACAGUAACUGCUGCAGCUUCCAAGGACCAAGUCGACGUGUCACUUGCAGGAUGUUCUGAGACCUCCAAGGAAGAAAAGGGCCCUUCAGUCAUCAAUCAAGCAAUAUUUAUUGAGUGUAUGUAAUAAUGCCACAUACCAAGUAUAGGAUCGCAUCCCCACACAUUUACCUGAAGGAGGUGAGAGAAGAAAGAAGCCAGCAUUUAACUAGACUGUGAACACUUCCAGGCAGAAACCAUGUCUCUAUCACUGAGGAGCAGCACGGCAAUGUGAGACCACAGGCUUCGGAGUCAGCCAGACUUGUACUUGAAAGUCCAACCUGGAGUAAGACACCCUGGGCAAGAUUUCGAUCAUCUCAGGAUCUCUGUCUCAUUAGCUGCAAAAACAAUACUUCCUCAUAAGCUGUCAUAAGGAUUAAAUGUGGUAAUAACACAAAGCAGCUGGCACUGAGUCUGACACAUCAUGGAUGCUCAGUAAAUGUUGGAUGAAGAAAGUGCAGGAAGAGAAGCUCCAGACAGAGCUUGUGGUGAGCUGUGAGAGAGCCUCUGUGGGUCAGCACGGCCUCGGCCAUCCUGACAGAGAUGAGGCAGAGCUGAGUGGAGUUACGGCCAGACUCUGUCUCCAGAGGAAGUGCUGACUGAGCAAGAGGAAGGUGACAUCCAGGGCUGGUGGACAGCAAGACAAGGAAGACCAGAAGUGAAUGUGGGAGGUCUCGGUGAGAUCGCCUGCAGCAUUUGGCUAUGACAGGGCCAUCACUCCAGGCCCAGCUCCAAGGGGCAGACUUGACAAGUGCCUGAAGCUGGCAUUGGACAGUAGGAAGCACAUCCUCUCUGACUCGGGAGCUUUAAAAACACACUUGCCUGGUCCCCACCUCCAGAGAUUUGGUUUCAAGUGCUCUAAAGUAGACCCAGGGCUGAGCAUUUUAAAAAACUCUUCAGAGAAUUCUAAGGCAGGGAAGGCUGAGAAUCACACUCUAGAAUAGAGGAGGUGCCAUACUUAAUAGGCCAGAUAAGGACCAAGUUUGCUCCUAUACCCCCAGACUGUUCCCUGAGCAUCACUGAGGGGAUGGGAGGUGGUGGGUGGCUGCUACUCGCUUGCCUGCCCUGGUGAGGACUGGCUCAGUACCAGAGUGGGCCCAUCCACAGACCAAGUGGCAGGGAGCAGGGAGAGACAAGGGUAGAAAAAAAUGAGGCUGAUGGAGCAUAGUCUUUCUGAUCUCAAAAUCCCAGCCUGCCUCUCCAGCCCCUCCCCAGAGGAGACCAGUUGCUCUUUGGGAGAGGGAGGUCCUUUGGGAAGUGAUGGGGUGGAGGAACACCUUCUCUUCCUUCAUACCCACUCUGAUGGCGCAGGGGAAACCAGCGGGGAGCUGCUGUUCACUUCUCCCGGGGGGAAAACUCAGUGAUGGAAGCUUAGAACUCAUGGUCAUUCUAAGAAUGUAAGGAAUUUUUUUUAGAUAAGAAGUAAGUCCCCAGCCAGCUGCAGAACCCUCUUAGUUUGAAGAGGUCAUAAACAAGGAUGAGAAAAAAGGAAGGGAGGAACUCAUGAGAAAUUAGAUCUGCUGACAUUUGUUUGAAAACUGCCUAGUCCUCCACCCUGUGGAUUUCCACAAUCUGUAUGUGUAAAAGGUAAUCAGGAUGAUGACACCUAUUACAGUUCACAAGGAACAGACCCACCAAGAAGUGGUAUCGGGAAGUGACUUCUAGUAAAAGCUGCCCUUUAUUUUAUCACCCUGGUGGUCCUCACUAGACCCUGCAAAUAUUUGAUCAUGCAAACCCGAUUAAAAGUUAUUGAUCAUGAAGAAAGAAUAU